UUUGGGUACUCUAGCCAAGCUGAGAUUAGCAGAGUCUAACCUAAGCUUUCUUUCUCUGAGUCUUACCUAGUUUUGUCUUUGCUCUUCGGCAGGAAGCCUUUCUGAGAAACUGGAUUCCUGGACCUUCUCUCCCUGGAAGGAUUAACUGAGUACACGCUGAGCAGGGGAAAACCUCUACAUGAUCCAUUCAAGUCCUCAUUGAAAAUCCAAGUGACAGUCCACUCCUUUACUCCUCUGGGUCCAACGCUUGUCUAUCUGUCCGCCCUCCAACGAGUUCCCUCUUCUCUGGAUUAACCCCCACAAGCUGGAUUCAAGGAUUGUCAUGAGCCCCCUCAAAUGAAGAGUCCACCUCUGGAUAACCAGCUGACAGUCCGCUCCUUUACUCCUCUGGGUCCAACGUUAGCCUGCCUGUCCGCUCUCCAACGAGUUCCUUCUUCUCUGGAUUAAACCCCACAAACUGGAUCCAAGGAAUAACAAAGAGCCCCCCAAAGCAGUUUCCGGUUCCGGUUCACCAGUCUGCUGAGGUCCAACAUCAUAACUCAGCAGAAUAUCUCUCUCCGUCUGUGUUUCUUUGCAAACCUUCAAUAAACCUG